GCACUCAUUUGCCCAAGACGAUAACUCACAAAACGCCCUGUGGCCCGACUGUCACGACUGUAGUUCGCCAACCAAGGGCAUUUCCUGGAAAUGCAAGGGGACACGUAUCUGUGACACUAAUGGCCGUUCUGACGUGCGUUACGCCCCUGGAAGGACUUGGAAAUACUGAACUUGAGUGAGCACUGGGAGGAUGGAGACCCUCAUCCUGGGAGGAGUCACUCCUCCCGCAGCCAUCACAGCCUGACGCCCCCUCUCCCCAGAAGUGCUUCUUAGGCCCACCCAAAAGGGCAAUGGACCUCUCUGUAUGCAAGCCAGAGCAGUCUACUGUUUGUGUAUAUUUGGGUUGUUUACUUUCUUUUUAACACUUAAAUGUUAAUUGACUUCAAUCAUUUUUAAAAUUAUAAAUAGUGUCGCUAUAGACUUUUUUGUACUUAUUAAGUACUGACCUGCAUGAUCUUCGUGAAGCAGUGCUUCUGUUACCAGAAAGGGGUCCGGAUCCGACCCCAAGAGAGAGUUCUUAGAGCUCACGCAAGAAAAAAUCCAUGGGAGAGCACAGUGCAAAGCCAAAGCAAGUGUAUUAAGAAAGUAAAGAAACAAUGGGUACUCCAUUGUUAGAGCAGCAGCUUGGGCUGCUGGACUAGGGAUACUUGUAUUUAUUGCUUGAUGAUGUGCUAAACAAGGGUGGAUUAUUCAUGAGUUUUCCAGGAAAGAGGUGGGCAAUUUCAAUUUCUCGGAGCUGAGGGCUUCCCAGCUUUUUGAACCAUACAGGGUAACUUCUGAACCUUACCAUGGCAUUUGUAAAUUGCCAUGGCACUGAUGAGCGUUUCUCUUAGCGUGCUAAUGCAUAUAAUUAGCAUAUAACCGAGAGGUGAAGCCAGCUGGGCUUCUGGAUCAGGUGGGGCCUUGGAGAACUUUUCUGUAUAGCUGAAGGAUUGUAAAUACACCAAUCAGUGCUCUGUGUCUAGCUAAAGGUUUGUAAAUGCACCAGUCAGCACUCUGUAAAAACGGACCAAACAGCACUCUGUAAAAUAGACCAAUCAGCGCUCUGUAAAAUGGACAAAUCAGCAGGAUGUGGGCGGGGCCAAAUAAGGGAAUAAAAACGGGCCACCCGAACAACCAGCGGCAACCGCGCUGGGGUCUACUUCCCAGGUGUGGGAUGUUUGUUCUUUUGCUCUUUGGGUCUGCACUACCUUUAUGAGCUGCAACACUCACCCUGAAGGUCUGCAGCUUCACUCUUGAAGCCAGCGAGACCACAAACCCACUGGGAGGAACGAACAACUCCAGACACGCCGUCUUUAGGAGCUGUAACACUCACUGUGAAGGUCUGCAGCUUCACUCCUGAAGCCAGCGAAAUCAUGAACCCACCGGGAGGAACAAACAACUCCAGCACGACUCCAGACGCACCGCCUUUAUGAGCUGUAACACACACCGCGAGGGUCUGCAGCUUCACUCCUGAAGCCAGCCAGACCAGGAACCCACCAGAAGGAACCAAUUCCGGACACAUAACAAGCAGCAGUGAGGACACCAAAGGUUAGGGAUCUUCAAGCCGAGUCAAUAGCAAUAAGAAGCAUUUCCUGGUGCCACUCGGCCAAGCCUCCCGCCCACCUGGCCCGGCCUGACUCACACUGGUAUGCGGACCUGUGGCCUGGGUGACGGCCACAUCACUGAGGAAGGAAGUGGGCCUCAGCUAGGGGUGAAUUUUCAUGAUUAGAUUUUCUCUCAUUAGAGGCUGUCAUGAACAACAAUACAACCACCAAUUUGAAAACCUAGCAGAAAUGUAUAAAUUCCUGGAAAAAUACAACCUUCCAAGAUUGAACUGAAAAGAAAUCAAACUUUUGAACAGACCAAUUACAAGUGACAAAUUGAAUCUGUAAUAAAAUGUCUCCUAUCAAAGAAAAUUCCAGACUCCAAUGGCUUCACUGCAGAAUUCCGCCAAAUAUUUAGGAGGAAUUAAUAGCAAUUCUUCUCAAACUCUUCCAGAAAAUUGAAGAGUAUAGAAUUCUUCCAAAUUCAGUUUACAAGGCCACCAUUAUCCGGAUAUCAAACUCAGGGAAGGACACAACAACAAAGAAAACUAUAGGCCAAUAUCACUGAUAAACGUGGAUGCAAACAUCCUCCCCAAAAUACUGGCCAAACAAAUGAAGCAGCACAUCAAAGUGAUCAUUCCUAUGCCAAGUGGAAUUCAACCCAGGGAUGCAAGGAUGGUUCCUGACACACAGAUCCACAAAUAAGACACAUCACAUCAACAGAAUGAGUACAAGAACCAUAUGAACAUCUCGAUAGGUGCAGAAAAAGCACGAUAAAAUUCAACAGUCCUUCAUGGUAAAAACUCUUAACAAACUGAGUAUAGAAGGAAUGUAGCCCAACACAAUAAAUCGAUGUAUGGCAAGCCCACAGCCUAUUCACAUCAUAGUGAAUAGGGAAAAGUACAAAGCUGUUCCUCCAAGAUCUGGAACAAGGCAAGAAUGUCCAUUUUUGCCACUUUUAUUCAAUGUAGUAAUGAAAGUCCUAGCCAGAGCAAUUAGGCAAGAAAAAGAAACAAAGGGCAUCCAGACUGGAAAGGAGGAUGUCAAAUUGUCUCUGCUUGCAGAGGACAUGAUCUUAUGAACAGAAAACCCCAAAAGCACCACCAAAAAACUCUCAGAACUGAUCAAUAAAUUCAUUAAAGGUGCAGGAUAUAAAAUCAACAUACUAAAAUCAGUACCAUUCCUGAACAUCAACAAUAAACUAGAAAAGAAAGAAAUCAAGAAAGUGUAAUGACACUUGAUACCUUUAAAAAUGUAAGAUCAUAAUUAGAAUUUGUAAAUGAUCAAAUUAUUAAAAGAUGCGAGACUCAAAAAAACUACAUAUUGCCGGGUGUGGUGGCUCACACCUGUAAUCCCAACACUUUGGGAGGCCGAGGCAGGUGGAUCAUCUGAGGUCACGAGUUCCAGACCAGCCUGACCAACAUGGAGAACCCCAUCUCGACUAAAAAUACAAAAAAUUAGCCAGACAUGGUAGCACAUGCCUGUAAUCCCAGCUACUCGGGAGGCUGAGACAGGAGAAUCGCUUGAACCUGGGAGGCAGAGAUUGCGGUGAGCCGAGAGCACGUCAUUGCACUCCAGGCUGGGCAACAAGAGUGAAACUCCGUCUCAAAGAACAACAACAACAACAACAACAAAGCUACAUAUUGCGUGACUUCAUGAUAAGCAGUUCUAGAAAACGCAAUGGUAUCAGAAUAAAGAAUGAACCAGUGGCUGCUCAGAAUUGAGGACAAGGAGAAUAUUUCACUACAAAAGCACAGCACAAGGAAUAUUUGAAAGUAAGAAAAUGGCAUCUCUAUUGUGGUGGUAGUGCUUGAGAUUCCAGACAUCAAUACAAAACCUGCAGAAGGCACAGCUGUCAAAACUCAUGGAAAUAAACGUACAUCAAAAAUACCAAGCCACGCCACCCGGGCCCGCCCCCAGGACACGGAGUUUAAGGACCGCGUCUCCCGAGAUGCCAGAGGGACCUGCGUCCGCACUGCCCCAGUGUGACCCGCAUACCUACCGGCCCCGACCCCGAACCGCGUGGCGUCCGCCCGAGCCCUGGCGCUGCUGGGUCUCCUGCUGCUGCCGCUGCUCGCAGAGCCCAGGAAACUCUGCCCGCAGCUUAUGACGGUCAUUAACCAGUUUCUGACCAAGGACAAGGACACCUACAUGGACACUGUCAACAGAUACCACCUCACGGAGCCGGAAAGAAACACAUCCUCUAAACUCAAGGACUGCGUGACCGACACAAUGACCCCCGAGGAGACAGAGGCCGUCGUGCAGCAACUGGAAGAAAUCAACAACCAGUGUGCCGACACGAUACUGAAGUAACACCAUCCAUAGGCACCUCGGGUUCCUGUCCAGGCUGCCUGUCCCAACCAUGAGAAUCUGGGCCCAGGGCCCCACCCUCCCUAGCUCCCGCCCUGCUGCUGCCUCUACUCUCUCUCCUGCUGUGCUGAUUGGGGCAAGCCUGGGAACGGCUGCCCCCCACCUCCCCACCCAGGCCUGUCCCCUGCGGGACAAUGCUGCCUAAUAAACUCACCUGCAUCCAUCCA